AGCUGGAUAACUCAGUUGGUUAGAGUAUGGUGCUGAUAACACCAAGAUUGCAGCUUCGAUCCCUAUAUGGCAUAGCUG